CAACUUUUGGUCUUUUUUCUCUCUGCUCAUUUAGAGGAGGCGUUAACCUCUCAAAUUGGGGCACCACCCCUUCCACAAUAGAAGAGGGAGGAAUUUCAGGUGAAACCAUGAAGCAUCAUUGACGACUGUCUCAGCAUCAUUUUCAGACUCAUGCUUUCGUUCACAAUAAACCCACUUCAAAUCGUUUUCUGCUAACUCACAUCUCCGAUUGUACGUGUACAUUUCAGCAAAGACGAACAUUUUGCAUUACGAUUGCGGAAAGAACAAUGUAAAGGUUUGCUUGAGACAAGGGCGCAGGCAGGGAAAGAUCAAAGUUGGAAGUUUUGCUUUCACUGCCGCCGCCGCCAUCGAUUUGGAAAUUUGUCUUUAAUGUCACGGCGGGCAUGUCGAUUCGUCACCAGACAGCCCAUCUCAGGGGUUCAAUACUUCAGUGGUUUGUGGAUCUUUGACAGACUUUUUCUGCCCACCAGCUUCAAAUCAGUUGUGUUAAAACGAGGACUGGCUGAGGCAUUGGAUCCUUGAACAGUGACUUGAACAACCACCAACACUUCGAACAGUGAGGACAGCAGAUGCACGGGAAUAUACCAGCUGCAAGUUCGCUCCAAGCCAAACACUAUCCUGAUUUGGAACCAUAUAAUCAUCCCUGCACUCCUGUUGGAACAGAGUUCUGGAUCUCCAUCCCACACAGCAAAGUACAGAGGAACCUCGAUUAUCCGAAGGACAUGGGCAGGGAGUUUUCUGUUCGGUUAAUUGAAUUUAGGAUAAUUAAAUGCCAGGUAACAUAGUUUAGCCAAGUAUCAGGACCUUGCAAUCUUGUCGGAUAAUCUGAUAUUUGGAUAAUCGAGGUUCCUCUGUAAAUGUAUCUACACUACACGGACUGCAGCAGUUCUGGAAGGUGCUUCACUAUCACCUCAUAUGGCAAAUUUGGAAUGGGCAGUAAGUGCUGGCCUUCAGUCACGUUUGCAACCCAUGAAAAAAUAAAAAUAAAUUAUCUAAAAACCUAGAGAGAGUGGACCAUGUGAAGAGAGAUCAGAUGUAAAAUGUCAAUGCAGAGGAGUGGUUGGAAGCAACUAAUCAAGUCAGUAAAACAAUAUUUGAAAUACAUUUAAUUUCUUGAUUCUCAUUCUUCAAUCAUUUAAUUAAAUGAAAAGAUUUAUAUCAAUGUUAUGAUUCUCAGAUUGAACAGCCAACUGAUCUCUUGCCCAAAACUCAGUUGAUAAUCAUUUCAAUUCUGACUAGAGUUCAGGAAUGAAUUUUCCAUGCAACCCAGCAUCAACUGUUUCGAUAAAUGAUUUGCCUGGGAAAUGGGACUUCAAUUCAAGGUUUGAGAAUAUCAAUAUACAUACACAACCACCAGUAAAGACAAAGUGAUGAUAUGACAACAACACAUCCAACAUUUAGCAGUGUUUGAUUAUCUAUUUCAAAUCAGACAACAUCCUCCCGUUGAGAAGUUGCUGACAAAUAUUUAUUUGAGACAACUCUUCAAAAGAAAGUUCCAGGGGGCUUGAUCAUAUGUAAAACACUUUAGUAGCUUCAGAUGCAGCUUCACCAAGAACGAUUACCAUCAGUUGGACAGAACAUUCUACAGUUCAAACCAAUUACUUCAAAGUCUUUUGCUAUAAGUUCCGUAUCCUAUGAUCCUGCCCCACUAGCUACCUAACGAAGGAGCAGCGCUUC